rnacentral:lncRNA from 1 species
GAUGUGGCACGAGACAUUGAUACCCACACGCAUAGGAUUGGCCGCACAGGAAGAGCGGGUGAGAAAGGUGUGGCCUAUACCCUACUCACUCCCAAGGACAGCAAUUUUGCUGGUGACCUGGUCCGGAACUUGGAAGGAGCCAAUCAACACGUUUCUAAGGAACUCCUAGAUCUGGCAAUGCAGAAUGCCUGGUUUCGGAAAUCUCGAUUCAAAGGAGGGAAAGGAAAAAAGCUGAACAUUGGUGGAGGAGGCCUAGGCUACAGGGAGCGGCCUGGCCUGGGCUCUGAGAACAUGGUGAGUCUAGACUACUACAGUAGUGCCUUUAUAGUUGGUCUCAUGUCCUGAAAGUCAUUAGGAAUAUUCUCAUCUACCCAGGAAAGCCUCAGUGAGUUUAAAGCCCUGUCUAGAAGGGAAUUUGUAUUUAAUCUGAUUUGAGUCAAUGCAGUGCUCAUUCUUAUGGUAACUUUCUAUUGAAGAAGCAUCUUUGUGUACUUGGUUGACUAGGCUUGCUCAGGAAAUUAUUCUAGAUUAGCAGUGAUCUCACACUGUGGUCCCUGGACCAGCAGCACAUGCAAACUCAUCCCCAACCCC